AUUGAACGCUGGCGGCAGGCCUAACACAUGCACGUCGAACGCGUGGCGGACGGGUGAGUCAUGUCUGGGAAACUGCCUGAUGGAGGGGGAUAACUACUGGACACGGUAGCUAAUACCGCAUACCAUCGGAUGUGCCUAGAUGGGAUUGUCUAGUAGGUGGGGUAAAGGCGCACCUAGGCGACGAUCCCUAGCUGGUCUGAGAGGAUGACCAGCCACACUGGAACUGAGACACGGUCCAGACUCCUACGGUAGGCAGAAGUGGGGAAUAUUGGACAAUGGGCGCAAGCCUGAUGCAGCCAGGCCGCGUGUAUGAAGAAGGCCUUCGGUUUGUAAAGUACUUUCAGCGGGGAGGCGUUACCCGCAGAAGAAGCACCGGCUAACUCCGUGCCAGCAGCCGCGGUAAUAC
rnacentral:rRNA from 1 species